ACGAACGCUGGCGGCGUGCCUAAUACAUGCAAGUAGCACGCUGAAGAGAGGAGCUUGCUCUUCUUGGAUGAGUUGCGAACGGGUGAGUAACGCGUAGGUAACCUGCCUUGUAGCGGGGGAUAACUAUUGGAAACGAUAGCUAAUACCGCAUAACAAUGGAUGACACAUGUCAUUUAUUUGAAAGGGGCAAUUGCUCCACUACAAGAUGGACCUGCGUUGUAUUAGCUAGUAGGUGAGGUAAUGGCUCACCUAGGCGACGAUACAUAGCCGACCUGAGAGGGUGAUCGGCCACACUGGGACUGAGACACGGCCCAGACUCCUACGGGAGGCAGCAGUAGGGAAUCUUCGGCAAUGGGGGCAACCCUGACCGAGCAACGCCGCGUGAGUGAAGAAGAUUUUCGGAUCGUAAAGCUCUGUUGUAAGUCAAGAACGGGUGUGAGAGUGGAAAGUUCACACUGUGACGGUAGCUUACCAGAAAGGGACGGCUAACUACGUG
rnacentral:rRNA from 1 species